UGAAAUUUUGGCAAUAAGGUCCAGUUGAAUCUUUGGGACAACAUUGAAAAUGAAUAUUUCUUUCCACCCUGCAACCGAUAGACAGAUUGAGAUUACUAACGGAAUUUAUGUUGAAAACCGGUGUUAUUGACUUUAAGGGUAAUUGGGAAGGCCACCUAGGUUCGAUUGAAUUUUCGUGCAUCAAUAGUUACCAUGCAAGCAUUACGAUGUCACAUGUUGAGGCACUGUAUGGAAAGAAUUGUAGAAGUCUUACUUGUUGGAAUGAGUUUAGUGAGAAUAUUGUAUUGAGGACAUAAUUCGUUGAGGAAGAAAUACCCAAAGUUAUUCCCUGAGAUGAGUUACGAGGGCGUAACUCGUUUUAUUUAAGAGGGGUAGAAUGCGAUAUAAAUUCGCGCUUCUUACCUAAUUUUAUGGUGUUUUUAUGCAUUUUUAUGCUUAUUUUAGCAAAUUAUACAUGUCGAUGCAAGUAAAUAGAUUCUCCGCGUAAGAAAAAGGUGUUCAUGAGUAAUUCAAGAAACUUUAAGUUGGCAAAAGAGUGUACAUAAAUGCCACAAGUACUUCUACAAUAAGAAUAAGUUCAAAAGUUUGGAAAGAUAUGUGAAUUUUCGUGUCAAGUUUCGGGACGAAACUUCUUUUAAGAGGGGUAGAUUGUAAUCCCCCGUAAUUUUAUAAAUCUUAUUAAUACAUUUUAACGUAUAGUUAAUUAUAUUUAAAUAGAAUUUACGAAUUUUAGAAAUAAAAAUGUAAUUAACGAAUAUUUAUUUUUAUACGUUUUAAAUAUUUCAACGAUUUAUGAAAUUAAAAUAAUUUUAGAAUUUCAUGUUGAAAAUAAAUCGAAUUACAAAACCGAUUGAAUUUAGAGAACGUUCCUAAUCGAUUUUGGAAUGAAAUCCUAAAACUAAGUUCCUAAUUCUAGCCCACUUUGGUAAAGCCCAUUGUGAUAAACCUAAACCCCCAUAAUCUCAUCUCACGUGAAACCAAAGAAACAACAAAAGAAAAAUCUCUCUCCUUCAUCCUUCACCCUUCACGUGAACCCUCAAACCCUCAAACCUUGCAGCCGCCAGCCACCAGCCACCGCACACCGCCUGCACCACCCUCGCCGUCGGCGUCUCCUCCUUCGUCCGCAACCACCACCCACCUACGAAACUGACCGCGACAGCCACCGUCCUGUGUCGUCGCCGACCAACCAGCACCAACUUCGCAAUCCUUUCCACACGCAAACAGUCCUCCCUUUGGCUUGCUCCUUGCUCACGGCACCACCACCAACGACCCGAGCAACCCUCGCUGCCACCAUCGACAGCCGCCACCGCCGCUGCCGCGCCAUCUCCGACCGCCGUCCAACCACUCUUCAUUCUUUCUUUUGGUGGAGAAUUCUCCGUAGGCGACUUUUGAAUUCUUAAAGUGGUCUCGCAUUUUGUUUACACAAGUCUCUAAGGAUCAAUAAGCGUUGCCCAUCUACAGGUUUGAAGAUGAUGCAUCAUUGGGAUCGGGAUUAGAGAGCUUGUAGUUCAUUUGAUUUUCUAAGUUGGAUUUGGUUUGUUUAAGUGGACUCUAAAACUUAUUGAAUUAGUAACAUUAACUUUGUUUUU